CGAGCGAUGGAUUAAGAGCUUGCUCUUAUGAAGUUAGCGGCGGACGGGUGAGUAACACGUGGGUAACCUACCCAUAAGACUGGGAUAACUCCGGGAAACCGGGGCUAAUACCGGAUAAUAUUUUGAACUGCAUAGUUCGAAAUUGAAAGGCGGCUUCGGCUGUCACUUAUGGAUGGACCCGCGUCGCAUUAGCUAGUUGGUGAGGUAACGGCUCACCAAGGCGACGAUGCGUAGCCGACCUGAGAGGGUGAUCGGCCACACUGGGACUGAGACACGGCCCAGACUCCUACGGGAGGCAGCAGUAGGGAAUCUUCCGCAAUGGACGAAAGUCUGACGGAGCAACGCCGCGUGAGUGAUGAAGGCUUUCGGGUCGUAAAACUCUGUUGUUAGGGAAGAACAAGUGCUAGUUGAAUAAGCUGGCACCUUGACGGUACCUAACCAGAAAGCCACGGCUAACUACGUGCCAGCAGCCGCGGUAAUACGUAGGUGGCAAGCGUUAUCCGGAAUUAUUGGGCGUAAAGCGCGCGCAGGUGGUUUCUUAAGUCUGAUGUGAAAGCCCACGGCUCAACCGUGGAGGGUCAUUGGAAACUGGGAGACUUGAGUGCAGAAGAGGAAAGUGGAAUUCCAUGUGUAKCGGUGAAAUGCGUAGAGAUAUGGAGGAACACCAGUGGCGAA
rnacentral:rRNA from 1 species